rnacentral:rRNA from 1 species
AACGUAGGUGGCGAGCGUUUAUCCGGAUUUACUGGGCGUAAAGGGUGUGCAGGCGGGCUGUUAAGUGGUGUAUGAAAGCCCCCGGCUUAACCGGGGAGGGUCGUUGGGGACGGCGGGGCUUGAGGGCGGGAGAGGGUGGUGGAAUUCCCGGUGUAGUGGUGAAAUGCGUAGAGAUCGGGAGGAACACCCGUGGCGAAGGCGGCCACCUGGGCCGACCCUGACGCUGAGGCGCGAAGGCGUGGGGAGCGAACGGG